UGAGGGAAAAAAAGGAUGGAGGGGGUGGGGUGUCUGGUGAGGGCGCGCCUGGGUGUGGGAAGGUGGCUGACUGUUACUGAAGGGGUACCCUCAGUCAUGUGGCCGACUGGCCUGCUCAGCGAAAAGACAGUUUGGGACCCUCGGAAUCAGGAUGGGGCAGCCUCCUUCUCAUACCCGGAGCGCUUGCUCUGCUUUUAAGGCUGUAACCCUUUCUCUGCUAGAGCCUUCAGAAGUCUGGACAAUGGAAGGGGAGAGUGCUGUGGGGAGGCCUGCUAGCUCCCCCCUCCUUUCCCUCCAGGCUGGAGCCUCCAGGGACAAGUGCUGGCUUUGGAGCCUGGAAUUCUGCAAAGGAAAUUGGUUGGUUGCAUUCCAUGCUAAAGCAGCCUUUCGGAAGCAAGUCAAGAGGUGCACCCGCCUGGCCCCUCUCUCUGCUGCUCAGGCCUGCCCACCUCCGGGUACUCAGAGCAUUUGGCUGCAGGGAGAGUGCUUUCUGCUCCUGACACUAUUCCUGAGCUGACCCUUCCUGGCCCAGCCAGCUAGAAUGUUCUCACUUCCAUGAGUACAAGAUGGUCCCAUUGGGUCUUCAAACAAGGCGAGGAGUGUUGCCUUCUCACAAGCUUUGUGUCCUGCUCAUUACGUCCAUGGUCACAUUCCAUCCCCACUCCAAUCACCACAGACUCGGCCUAUCCCACACCUUGUUACUUCGGGGUUGGUGAGUAGUCCAGCAGACCAAUCGCAGGAUCUUGGAAACCAAAGCCUCAUUGCUGAGCCACUCCACUUCGCGCCCUUCAGCUAGUGGAAGAGAAAAGGGAGAACUCUCAGAAUGGAGGGGGGAGGCUAUGCGAUAACUGGAAAGGCCCAGUCCCAGUUUCUCAUCCUCAGGGGUACCUCUUCUCCCCCAUCCACUUUGUGAUGUCACUAAGAGGUUCUUUUUAAAGACCUAGUGCUAAUGAUUUAUUUGUUAAUAUUUAUCAUUAUUUUAAAUGAAACUUAAAAUUGUUUACACACAUUGUGUGUGUGUGUGUGUGUGUGUGUGUCUUGUACAAGCACAUGGCCAAGUGCACCUAUUUGGAGGCCAGAGGCCAGAUUUCCAGAGUUGGGUCCUCCUACCACAUAGUUCAUGAGGACUGAACCCAGGCUUGUUGACUCAGGCUUGUUACUCACCGAGCCAUCUUGCUUGUCCCUAUAUUUAUAUUUUUAAAAGGCUGGUCUAACUUGAACCUCCUGGUCUCUGAAUUCUGGUUGGGAAGUCUUGUGGGCUAGCCCUAGGUCUCAGCCAUCUGCCUGCUCAUCCUCCUGUUUCCACAUAGAAGUCAGCCCUGGCACCGGCACUGCAGGUUCAAUACAGUAAUGGCCCUGCUGGAAGCCAUCCCUGGGCCUGCAGAUGCAAUUUCAUUCUCCUUCCUCAGUGCCUGAGAUGAUAGGACAUUCUAACAGGAGUGGGCUAUUCCUCCGGUAAGCCACUGAACUCCUGGGGUGCUUUUGGUAAAGCACCCCAGGGCUUAGGGGUUAAGGAACAGCGUCCCCUUGGAGGACCACCCCUCUUGCAGAUGAACACACCCAGCUUUACUGUUCAAAGGGGAACUUCUCAGAAUCUGGGUGUCCUGGCCUCAGCUUCUCACCCCCUUGCAUUCUUUCUCAUUCUUGUAGCUUCCUUCCUGUCUCAUUCCACACAUGCUCCGUUCCGUCCCUGGACUGUAGUGGGUUCCUGUCCGGCUCAGGGAUCUUUUCUAUCUGAGCCCAAUUGCUUUAGUUCAGGACUUCCUUCUCCCACAGCUUAGGUCUGAAGCUGCUUGGUUCCUUUAUUCUGGAGCAGAACAUGGGUCAGAGGGCUGUUAGCUGCAGGGCUCAGGCUGCCUGAGGCCCUGGAUGCUACUCUGCAGGUCCUUCUGAGGCCUGUCUGUGCUACUUUGUGAAGUUUCCAGGACCUGGCCUACUUUCUGGGUCCCCAGGCACUCUGCCUUCAGGAAAGGGAGGGGAGCAUGGCCUAUUGAGAGCUUGCUGCUUUGAGUCUGCUGGAGCGUCAUCUCCAGUUGGAUGGAAUCAAAGGUCGGAAGAAGACAAUCCAGGAUCUGGGGAGAGACCAUGUAUGGGGAAAGGGAGGAGACAGAAAACUCCCAUUUCUGCCAAGUGAGAAGUCAAAGCUGGAAGGAACUGAGUCAGAUGCUGUCAGAGUGUUGGGAACAUCAGAGGGGUCACAGAACUGCCCCUCAUUUUACAGCCUGGACCUGAAGACCGAGAAAGGAAAUGACUUGUCAAAAGUUCGCCAGUUACUCUGCAGGGGAGCCAGGUUUGGGAUGGAGGAGCGACUAGGUCUCCAGACUGACUCCACAGGGCUCCGGUACUUUGAGCCUGGACUGUCAAGACUUUUCUAGAAUGAUUUCAUUGUGCCAUGGGGGAGAUGGUGUGGGGAUAUUUGACCAUCACUGCCAGAUUGCCACCAUGUUUGAAGCCUCCACCCUUCACUUAGUUGAUGUAGGAAAGGUACCUAUCCCAGGGCUAAUUGAGUUGAUAGGAUUUAUGGGCCUCAUAUACUCACAAUCCAGAGAACAGUACUAUCCAAAGAAUUGCCAGAAGGGGCUUGCAUCCUGAACCCAACCAACCUGGAUCUCUGGGAGGCAGGCUUGGCGGGCCAGAGAGAUGUGAUGCCGGGUUCCCUGCAGGACGGUGAACUGGACAGACUGAUUCAUGCUUGUAGUCUCCCGAAAACUGAAGCCUUUGCUCAGGGAGAAGCAAGACGUGAGCCUGGUCCUCAGAAGGAGGGCUGUCUGGCCGAGGACAUUAUCAGCUUGCGUGGAGUGGAGCAG